CGAAAAUGUUACUCUGAGGCAUGUGCCCCACUUAAGAGAAGGGCAGGGAUGCGGAGGAAGUCCGGGAUACUACAUAGGCCUGAAAUCUUUGCGACUGAUCCAGGUCACUGCCUGCCUGGCCAGGGGAGUUAGAGAAGAACAGAAAGGCCUUUAAAGAAUUUUGGACCAAGAGAGGCAGAGCCAAAGAAAGGUGGUAGUGGUUGGCAUGCCAAGAAGAGAAUGUUGGGUAAACCAAGGCAAUAGCAAAUCUGUUGAGAUGUGGUAUGUGGGACCUCCAGAAUGAAGAAGGUACAGAGGAGAGGGCCUUGGGCACCCACGGCUCAUGUCAAGGCUCCAUGUACACAGAGGAAAAGCCUGGAGAGUCAUGGUGGAUAACAUACCCAUCAGCAAACCGAGAGAUGAUCAUGAUGGGCCCGAAGGACUCCUCCUUAGCGAUGUACAUGUGGUCCUCCACGUCUGUGAAAACGGUUGGCUGAAAGAAGAAGCCUGUAGGGAGACAGUGGCCCAACGCAUGUCAGAGGUGUAAGUCCCUGACUGUCUCUUUCCUGCCCUGGCCAGGGCCUGGCUCACACGGCACUCUGUUCAUUCUGGUUCUAACCACUGCACUAUAGACCCAAGCACCUCAUCCUCUCCCUUCCAGUAAAAAUGGCCAAAAAGAGUCACCCCUGAUCUGUCCUGCUCUUGACUGGGUUCUAGGAAACUCUCCACCCUCCAGUUCAGAGAGCAGAUGUGCUGCCCCUAUGUUCCUGGGGGCUGCACUGGCCCUGUUGGGUCCCUCUCCCUGCUAUGUGAACAAUGCUUGCCAUCUGCCCCCUGCUAGGGCUUGCCACAUUGUCCCCAGCUUUAAGGAACUCCCCACUUCGGUGAAACAGGGACGUUUGUGCUUGAAUGCCAAUUGAGCCAAAUAACAAGCUGUUCUCUGGGUGGGAUGCUGGGAAGUUGUCUGUCAAGCUGAGGAACAGCUAAUACAGAUGACAGAAGAUGAGAAGCAUCAAGAGAGAAUGAAAGAUGGUGGCUGGGGGUCAAGAGCAAGUCACACUGUUCACAAACGAGACCACGGAGGCAGUCAGGGAACUUGUCCCUGAAGCAGGAGGGCACUGCUGGGUAUCAGAACCAACCCAAGAGUUCUCAGAGGGUGAAUAAACAAGGGAUCAAUGGUUGACUCUCCGGGAUACUCAGCAGGAUGAGGUGCAGGAGAGCCAAAACAUAAAUGAGAUGCCAGAUUUAACAGAACCAGGAGAGAAUUAAAAUCAAGGGGUCAGAGCGGGGUGUGAGUCCUCUCUUCCCCUUCUUCUUUCCAACUGCUAAGGAGAGCCUCCUUUGUGCAGGGUUCUGUAUAGAGUAUAAAAGGUAGAUAGCAAAAGCAGGCAGGAUGUGGAACUGUGGUGCCCUGGGUAGGCAGCACAAGACUUCAUCCAUGUGGCUUCUGCUUUCCUUUCCUUGUUUGGGUGGCUAGAAGUGAGAGUGGAUUCCAGAGAAGCAGGUGUGCCUGGGGUCAGACACUGUGCUGGUUUCAAUGAGAAAGACCCCCCCAGGCUCAUGUAUUUGAAUGCUUGGUUCUUAGUUAGUGGAAAUGCUUGGGAAGGAUUAGGAGGUGUGGCCUUGUUGAAGGAGGUGUGUGUUUGGGGGCAGACUGUAAGGUUUCAAAAGCUCACACAAGUCCCAGUUAGCUCUCCCUGCCUCAUAGAUUUUGUCUCAAUAUGUGAGCUCUCAGUUACUGCUUCAGUGCCAUAACUUCUCACAGCAAUGUUCUCUGCCAUGAUGGUCAUGGACUCACCCCUUGAAACUGUAAACCCAAUAAACUCUUCUGCACAUUGUGUUUGUUGGUCAUGGUGUCUUUGCCGCAAAAGCAAAGCAGCUAAGACAGGCAGAGAUGUC
rnacentral:lncRNA from 1 species